GACCCCUUCGUCUAGUGGUUAGGACUCAAGAUUUUCAUUCUUGCAACAGGGGUUCGAUUCCCCUAGGGGUCGCCA
rnacentral:tRNA from 1 species